AUGUGGUUGGCCUGUCAACACCGGCUAUGGACUUCGGACCGUCGUGCCCGGCAUGGCCUUCAGGACGCCCCAUCCCCUUGCUAUACUUGUCUCCAGGAUGAGGACAACACGGACCACAUCCUCAUGCAGUGCGUCUACGCCCGCGAGGUGUGGCACACCUGUUUCAGCUCAUGGAGAUUCACCAUCCACACGCCAGACGCAAACGCCACUUCCUUGCAAUGGUGGCUUCAGCAAAGGAGUAGAUUCAGAGGGAAGGCCAAGAGAUCCGUGGACUCCGUCGUGAUUCUCAUCGCAUGGGCUCUCUGGAAGCAACGCAAUGCACGAGUCUUCAACAACAGAUCGCGACAGAGGUCCCCCCUGCAGCUUACUGAUGAUAUCCAACAGGAGAUUGAGGAUUGGAAGAAGGCCGGUCUCGGCGGUGCUGGAGCUUUAGAUGCUUUUACGAGAGAGUAG
rnacentral:rRNA from 1 species